GUGUUAUACGGAAAGAGGGGAGGCUAACAUUCCCCUUGAUGAGGGCCUAGAGCACGCAAACAGGUAAAGCAAGCAUUACCACCUACUUAGUUGCAUCCACUGCUUUUU
ensembl:snRNA